ACAUAAAAAAAAUUUUGUUUUAAUUUUUUUCUGAAUUAUACUAUUUCGAAAUUUAUACCCUAAACCCUAAAACUCAACUCUAAACCCUAAACCAUCAAUCCUAAACCCUAUUUUUUUUGAACUAAAUCCUAAACCCUGAAACAUCAACUCUAAACCCUAAACCCUGAAACAUGAACUCUAAACCCUAAACCCUAAAACUUCAACUCUAAACCCUAAAACAUCAAUUCUAAACCCUAAACCCUAAACUUCAUAUCUAAACCCUAAACCAUCAACACUAAACCCUAAACUAUCAACACUAAACCUUAAAAAGUAAACUCUAAACCCUAAACCCUAAAAAAUUAACCCUAAACCCUAAAACAUCAACUCUAAACCCUAAACCAUAAACUUUCAACUCUAAACCUUAAACCCUAAAUCCUAAAUCCUAAACCCUAAACCCUAAACCCUAAAACCCUCGAGUUGUUGUUUUAGAGUUUAGAUUUGAAGAUUUAGGGUUUAGGGUUUACGUUUAGGGUUUAGAUUUGAUGUUUUAGGGUUUAGAUUUGAAGGUUUAGAGUUUAGGGUUUAGGGUUCGAAUUUCAGAAAAAUAUAAGGUUUAGGGUUUGGUGUUUACGUUUAGGGUUUAGAGUUGAUGUUUUAGAUUUUUGAUUUGAAGGUUUAGGGUUUAGGGUUUAGAGUUGAUGUUUCGGAGUUUAGGGUUUAGAGUUGAUGUUUCAUGGUUUAGAGUUUAGAGUUGAUGAUUUAGUGUUUAAAGUUGAUAUUUUUAGUUUAAAUUUAGGGUUUAGGGUUUAGGGUUUACGUUUAGCAUUUAGAGUUGAUGUUUUCGGGUUUAGAUUGGAAGUUUUAGGGUUUAGAGUUGAUGUUUCCGGGUUUAGGGUUUAGAGUUAAUGAUUUAGGGUUUAGAGUUGAUGUUUUAAGUUUAGAUUAGUUAACCGUAUGUUUUUUUUUGUCAAAGGUAAUCAAAAAGUUAUAAAUGUCUUUUACCCUUUAUUAAAGAUGAGGGUAAA
rnacentral:lncRNA from 1 species